CAAAUGGCGCCGCUUGUUUGCUGGAAAGUUGGACGCAGAUGUAUUAAUGACAUUGCUUUUCCAAAAGAGAAUGAAGUUAAGGAUCUUACCAAUGGGCUUGAAAUCUUGAUCACACCUCUAAGUGGAGAAUUAGUAUGUUCAGAAGAAGAGAUAAAGUAUUGUUUUAUUGGAGCCCAAGACAUUGUCAAUAAAUUGGUUAAUAAAAGCAUUGUGGUCUCAAAAGUGUUCAAAGCUUCAGUUGAACUGCUCCUUAAUGUAAUUGAAAAAUACCAGCCCUGGUCUAAGCAUGAUAUUGUGAAAGCAAAAAUGGAAGAGUUGAGUUGCCAAAUA